rnacentral:rRNA from 1 species
UACGAAGGGUGCAAGCGUUAAUCGGAAUUACUGGGCGUAAAGGGUGCGUAGGCGGUUCGUUAAGUCUGUCGUGAAAUCCCCGGGCUCAACCUGGGAAUGGCGAUGGAUACUGGCAGGCUAGAGUGUGUCAGAGGAUGGUGGAAUUCCCGGUGUAGCGGUGAAAUGCGUAGAGAUCGGGAGGAACAUCAGUGGCGAAGGCGGCCAUCUGGGACAACACUGACGCUGAAGCACGAAAGCGUGGGGAGCAAACAGG